AUUCAAUUCAAAACAUUCUAAAGAGACAGAACAAAUUUUCUUCUUCUUGAUCGUUUGGUGGCUCUCUUUGAUUUCAAGUUUCUUUCACCGAUGUCCAAAAUGAAGUCCGAUAGUAGGCCUCCACUCGCUAAAUCGCCGAUCCGGCUCCGUCCCUGCCGUGUCCUUCAACCCUACACAACCUCUGUACAAACUCCUCCAGGUUCUUUGACUAAAUCCCAGAAGCCUAAUCCCAUAAAAAACAUGGAAGAAUCGGAUCUCCGCCCCGAGUACCGUACCAUAUCUUGGGAGUUACGUGCUCUAGCGAGAAUGGUUAAAGACGAAUUUGGAAAUGGAAAUUUAAAUGGUGCGGGGAUGACUAACAGUGUGAGUGCUAACUCGAGUCCCCUGUUUGAGAGAGGAAGGUUUUACGAGGUGUACUCAGCGAGGAGAAACGAGAGGCUGAAGAGAAAGAAAGGGGAGACGGAGGAAGAGGGAAAGACUACAUACAAUCUUGGAGUAACGGUUGAGUCUUCAAAGAAGAGAGAUUCGAAGAAAUUGGAAAGCUUGAGGAAAUCGGUUUCUGCUGCAUACUCUGUGGAGAGAACUGAGAAUCCCAGGUAUUCCUUGAGAAGCUUGAGCAAAGAGAACAAGAAGCCUCCUCUGGCUGUCAACUAUGAGAAAUCUGCGCUUGCAAGAGACAGAAAAAUUGGGGCUCGAAGGGUUAAAAAAAUCUGAAUGUUGGAAAGGUAGGUGUCUUUUUUAGGAGUUUAAUGGAUUUGCUAUUUUCUUUGGGAUUAGGAAAAACUUGAUUCAAUUUGCUUUGGGGUUUAAAUUGUUCUUGCUAUGGUUUAAAUGGAUUUUUGAACUUUGAUGAUCUCUGGCAAAUAGGUUGCAUCUCGAUCUUAGUUUUUUAUUGCAUGAGAUCAUCAAGUGGAUAUUAUUAAUUUUCUCCUGUUAAAAGUGGUUGAAGCCUGUUCAGAAACUGUAAUCUCUAUUAACCAAACAUGCAAUAAUAUCUCUUGCAGAUGGGUUUCAAAUAUAUAAAAGCU
rnacentral:misc_RNA from 1 species